GCAUUCCUUCCUAAUAUACCGAGGAAGCUUCCAAACUCUAUCGCAACUGCUUCACUAGGACCGACGGGUUCCAAACUCUAUCAGGCUGAAGUUCCACUACUUCAGUUGUUGCAAAGGAUAGGGUCUUGUCACAUGGCAAGCAAAACAUUAUUAGUAUAUAGAGCAGUAAAAGUGAAUGUAUCUAUCUGGUAAAAGCACGUGUAACACCUUUUUCUAUCACAAAGUGGAACAACCGAGAUUUAAAAAUAUAACUUAGAUCUAAACCACAUUUUUCCUCCAUUGGGUUUCCAUAUUUUCUUGACCAAUCCUUAGCAGAUGCCACUGGAAGAGGCAUUGCAUCUAUCUCAAUUUGUCUGGAUAAUAUGCUCUUAGUAUCCAAUGAUCUUUUAUAUUCCUAGAAAUGCAUACUGAAAGGACUAUUACAAGAAUGAUUAAGCUAACCAUUUUUUUCAAAGUUUAUUGAAGCACCAAAGGCUUGUCUAGAUAUGCAAACCAUUUUCCUCUAUUUUAACAAUGGUUUAAUUUUCUGAACCAUGAUCUUUUACAAGAUUUAAACAUGAAAAUUGAUCUAUUCUCUACAGCCCUUUCAUCUAUCAAAAUUCACCAACUAAACCCCCAAUUUUACAAUCUAGAAACCACAAAAUUUAUUGUAUAAUACAAACAAAGGACAUAGUAAAUUAACGGAUUUAUCAAAAAUAUUACCACAAAAAGAAAACAAAGAAGCAGCGAAAUAAAUUUUCGGUAAAAUAAUAGCGAAUAUCGAACAACCACAGAAAAUAUCGAAUAUGGGAAAAAUACAGAAAACCUACAUCUGAGAUUCCUUAUAAUAGCCGAAAUGGUUGUACUUCGUCGGAAUGGAUCUUCCUUCGUCUGAGCAGGCAGUACAGUGCGUCAGCAAUUUUUUUCUAGGUUUAAGACCGAGAGAGACGAAAAGGCUUCUGUUGAUGAG
rnacentral:lncRNA from 1 species